CUGUAGGAACAGAAUUGAGUGAUACAAUGUGUGAAGACUGUCCUGUUGGUUCAUAUUCAAAUGGUACAUUUUGCAAAUGGCAUACAAAGUGUGAAUCUCUUGGAAAAACAGUAGUCAAAGCAGGAACUGAUACAUCUGAUGUUGAAUGCAGUAAUGGAAGAUCCUAUUUCGGGUUUGUGAUUCUGUCGAGCGGAGUAUUUGUGGUGCUUUUCACAACUGCAUUUAUUAUAAAGAGAAAAAAUAAGCAUGUCAGUGGUGCUACUCAAGUUACACAAGUUACUUAAGUUUGGAACUGUACAGAACUAUUUCCCCCAACACAGUGUAAAUAGAAUGAAAUAUGUUUAUAAACUAACAAUUAAACUGAUCUGUCUGUGUUCAUUGACA